rnacentral:rRNA from 1 species
UACGUAGGGUGCAAGCGUUUAAUCGGAAUUACUGGGCGUAAAGCGUGCGCAGGCGGUUGUGCAAGACCGAUGUGAAAUCCCCGGGCUUAACCUGGGAAUGGCAUUGGUGACUGCACGGCUAGAGUGUGUCAGAGGGGGGGUGGAAUUCCACGUGUAGCAGUGAAAUGCGUAGAGAUGUGGAGGAAUACCGAUGGCGAAGGCAGCCCCCUGGGAUAACACUGACGCUCAUGCACGAAAGCGUGGGGAGCAAACAGG